rnacentral:lncRNA from 12 species
CCACCACUGCCCUGGACAGCCCUUGGAUGAAGAAAUGUUUCCAAAUAUCCAGAUGAGCAAAAAGCAGGAGAACUGAAACCUCCCAGCAGUUGGCACAAGGAGAAGGGGAAACCUGACCAGGAAAACCCAGAAUUUGCAGCCUCAUCCAGGCUGUGCCACUACAUCCCUGGUGAGCUGUGUCUGCAGCAGGGAAUUCUGCAGGUUCCCUCUCCACAGCCUGCGCCGGGAGGGAACACUCCUGCAGCUUUUUCAGCUCCAUUAGGUCGCACAGCUGAGAUGGAUGGAGCUAACCAACAUGUGCACAAGCUGGAUGGAUCAGGAGCUGGAGAACCUGGGAGCAAGUGAGGCAGAAUUAGGCAAGUAAAGAACCUGGUUGUUUAUCAGGUGAUAAAAGACUGGUGUGAAUUGCAGGAGACACUGGAAAUUUGGAAGAUGUGUAGAUCUAAAUGGGUACAUUUGUUCCAAUUAAAUGAGGGUAAGGGAACAGAAUACCUGUUCAGGAGCACCACAGACAGAGGUUUUCAUCUUAUUUACUC